UACGUAGGUGGCGAACGUUAUCCGGAAUUAUUGGGCGUAAAGGAUGCGUAGAUGGUGUAGCAAGUUAUCGGUGGUAAAUCGAGGCUCAACCUCGUGGAAGUCGGUAAUACUGCUAUGCUAGAGGAUAGGAGAGGUUAACGGAACUCCCUGUGGAGCGGUGAAAUGCGUAGAUAUAGGGAAGAACACCAAUCAGGCGAAGGCAGUUAACUAUUCUAUUCCUGACAUUGAGGCAUGAAAGCGUGGGGAGCAAAACGG
rnacentral:rRNA from 1 species